GUUCACACAUUUGUGUGAUAUGUGCCUCCAUUAAAUCUUGUUAUGAACUUGUCACAUUACCCAUCUGAUG
rnacentral:snoRNA from 1 species